UAAGUUCAAAUUAUGAGUAUAUUUAACUUUUGUUUUGUCAAAAUACUUAUGCCGACCACUGUACAAGAGAAACUUUGUCCUAAGUGACUUCAGCAAGAAUAGGAAUUCCAAGUUUUGCAGAAAGUACACGAAAUGUCGAGUCACAAAAGCGUUGGGAAACUCUUUGUACGCUUUAGAAAACUUGCGCGGCAAUCCUUUGGGAGUUUUCCAUGCAAAGGAUCUGAAACAAUAGUGCCCGGCUAGCAGAUCACACUCACCAGGCAUUAAUCUCAGGGUUGUGGGCGGUGGCCUACGUUGGGCAGUACAACCAGCAGAACACGCACAUCCUCCACUCCAGUUCCGAGACGAGAAUCGAAACCGUAGUGUGCUUGUUAUGUGCUAAAUGAUAAAGAAAUAUGCACAAGUUGUAAAUUUAGCAAAGCUGUUUACAUUAGGACUGAAAACGAUAGUCGAAAAAUCGAUACAACACUAUCGACGACUCGUGAGUUCAGGGAGUCGUGCAGCUUGGACAAGUCAUGGAACUGGUUCCUUAAACCGGAUAACUCCCAAAUGAACCAAGGUUUAAAUUCGGAAAGUUUGAGUGGUUUUUGGGCUAAGAGAGGCUUGAAAAAUUGAAACAAGCAAGGGUGUUUAAAGGGCAAAUAUAGUUGGUCACAGACGGUUCUGGUGGAAAAAAAUAUAUAUAAGAUUAGAAGUCAAGUUCCAAAUAUUCCGUGAGGGAAAAGCCUGGAGCAGGAAAAUAUACUGACGUAAGGAGAGACGAAGACCAGCCACCAGGAGGAGAUCUACAUUUUCGACAGGAAAAUUGGCCACUCAUCCCCGGGUGGCCCCAGGUUUUUUUUAUUCGCCCCUUACAUUUGCCACAGAAUUAGCAAAAGGUUCCCGAAAGCUACAAGCGGCAAACCAAUUCAAAAAGCCGAAAAUUAAUACAACAAAAUUUGAGACUGAUGAUAUUAAUUAUGUAACCCGCCCAAAUUAAUUUAUUCCUAAUUAUAUCCAUUUAAAUUAUUUAUUUAUCUAACCUAUUUAUUUAUUGUUUAUUGUAUUUAUUUAUUUAUAUAUAUAUAUUAUGUGUUCCCUGUGAAAGUGCGGUACCGUAGGUAGGGUUAUAAAAUGUUAAAAUUUAAGAAAAAUUUGUGAAUUAUAACGUGAAAACGAAA